rnacentral:tRNA from 1 species
CAAAAUGUAGCUUAACUCAAAGCAUUUCGCUUACACCGAAAAACUGUCUGUGAAGCUCAGACCAUUUUGAG